GCCUGCCCAGUGACCCUGUUUAACGGCCGCGGUAUCCUAACCGUGCGAAGGUAGCGUAAUCACUUGUUCUCUAAAUGCGGACUAGUAUGAACGGCAUCACGAGGGUUAUACUGUCUCCUCUUUCUAAUCAGUGAAACUAAUUUCCCCGUGAAGAAGCGGGGAUAAAACUAUAAGACGAGAAGACCCUAUGGAGCUUUAAACAAUAUAGCACUUGCCUUUAACAUAAAAUUUCCGAAUCUUACUCCAAAGCAAUAUGACUAUAAGUUUUUGGUUGGGGUGACCACGGAGCAAAAUUUAACCUCCAUGUUGAAAGAAUUUAAGCUAAGAGUCACUCUUCUAAGCAUCAACAUAUUGACAUCAAUUGACCCAAUACAUUUGAACGACGAACCAAGUUACCCUAGGGAUAACAGCGCA
rnacentral:rRNA from 1 species